rnacentral:lncRNA from 1 species
GGGGAAGUCAGGAAAAUGACGUCAGAAAAUCCCGCUCAACAUAGGAAGUCAGGAAAAUGACUCCUGCCUCAAGACGUUCGGGGGGAGUCAGGAGAAUGACUUUAAAAAACCCCACUCAACGCAGGAAGUCAAGAAAAUGACUCUUGCUUCAAGACGUUCGGGGAGAGGUCAUGAAAAUGAGUUUAGAAAACCCCGCUCAACGCGGGAAGUCAAGAGAAUGACCCCUGCCUCAAGACGUUUCGGGGAAGUCAGAAAAAUGGCUUCAAAAAUCUCCACUCAACGCAGG